AGAGUUUGAUCAUGGCUCAGGACGAACGCUGGCGGUGUGCUUCACACAUGCAAGUCGAACGGAUCCUUCGGGAUUAGUGGCGGACGGGUGAGUAACACGUGGGAACGUGCCUUUUGGUUCGGAACAACUCAGGGAAACUUGAGCUAAUACCGGAUAAGCCUUUCGAGGGAAAGAUUUAUCGCCAUUAGAGCGGCCCGCGUAGGAUUAGCUAGUUGGUGGGGUAAAGGCCCACCAAGGCUACGAUCCUUAGCUGGUCUGAGAGGAUGAUCAGCCACAUUGGGACUGAGACACGGCCCAAACUCCUACGGGAGGCAGCAGUGGGGAAUCUUGCGCAAUGGGCGAAAGCCUGACGCAGCCAUGCCGCGUGAAUGAUGAAGGUCUUAGGAUUGUAAAAUUCUUUCACCGAGGACGAUAAUGACGGUACUCGGAGAAGAAGCCCCGGCUAACUUCGUGCCAGCAGCCGCGGUAAUACGAAGGGGGCUAGCGUUGCUCGGAAUUACUGGGCGUAAAGGGAGCGUAGGCGGAUAGUUUAGUCAGAGGUGAAAGCCCAGGGCUCAACCUUGGAAUUGCCUUUGAUACUGGCUAUCUUGAGUACGGAAGAGGUAUGUGGAACUCCGAGUGUAGAGGUGAAAUUCGUAGAUAUUCGGAAGAACACCAGUGGCGAAGGCGACAUACUGGUCCGUUACUGACGCUGAGGCUCGAAAGCGUGGGGAGCAAACAGGAUUAGAUACCCCGGUAGUCC
rnacentral:rRNA from 1 species